rnacentral:lncRNA from 1 species
CCAAAUGAAAUUCAACAAGUUCACAUAGUGACACCCAAUGUCAUUUUGAUCCACUAGAGUUAUUAAGCCACCAGUUUAAUGCCCAAUUAAUCAGUUCAUUACCUAUUAUAACUAAAUGAGUCAACAGUGCCUUGAAAACAAAUAGGCAAGUCAUAGCAUGAAUUCAUUUUUUAAAAACAAAAUGCAACUGAAACUCAACUUUGUUCUUAUCUAAUGGAUCAAUCAUCGUGAGUCCUUUACACCCCUAUAUCAACAUUCUAAUUUGACAUUUGUAUGACUGUUAUUAUUAUUUUAGGCGAUGGCCAUUAAUGUAAGCAAACUAUCACAGUAAGCAUAGAAUUCCACUGAACUGACUAACUAAUGCCAAUACUCAGUUAAUGAUUUGAAUAACUUCUGAACACAAAUCCUCGGACUACGUAAACGGUCUGUAUAAAUGAUAGCUAACACAGUCCAAUUUCAGUCCAGAUUGCACAACAGUCCAUUCGAAUCUAGUUCACAUGAUUACAAAACUAAUUCUAUCAUGUCUGCACUCGAUCACAACCAACGAAUUAAUAAAACAAAUGACAGAAGGCAUUUAGGAUGUAACAGAGGACAUUUAGCAGUAGAAUUAAUCUCAAUUCAUUUCAUGUUCGACUAAAAUCCUAUCAAGACAGAAUUAAACCAAAACUAAACUAAUAACCAAAUGGCCAACCCUUAAACAAAAUUAAGCAAUCAAGAAACCAAUAAUGCUAAACGGACAGAACAAGCAGAGGUUUUAAUCACUUUCAUCACUUUUUAUACUAAGCUGAUUAGAAUAAACAGCGAAUCAAACUUAAAACCUAUAUUAACCAAACAAAACACAACGAACAGAGAUUAACCCUCAAGCAGACGGUCCCGGAAUCAAUCCGGGAUUCCAACUUAAACUAAUGUGAAAGAGAAGAAGAGGAAGAAAUAAACAAAAGGAACUUACCCAGAAGCCUCUAAUGUUUUUCCUCAGAUUCUUAAUUCGAACGAGUCCUAUGGGAAUUGAGCGCCAUUGUCGCUGAAUUCAGCAAGAGGGAAGCCAAGGCAUCAUACGGUGUCAAUUUGGAGCGAUUUAGGGCAGUUAGGGUUUUGGUCGGAAAAAUUCAAAUUGAAAUUCGAACAGUUCCAGCCAAGUUCGAGGAGUAAGUCUUAGGUCAUUGGAAAUAGGGAAUGGAGGAGAUUCACUGAUGUAAAUUUGGGGUGAUUUGGAGAAAGUUGCGACAUGGCCGGAAAAAAACUUCGAUCCAAUAUUCGAAAUCAGUAGAAUUAAUCUCAAUUCAUUUCAUGUUCCAAACAUGUGAAGUUACAACCAUGGAAUCUCAAGUCAUGUACCUGGAUAUGAAGAUUCAAAUAAGGAAAAGAGAAGGUCAGUAGCUUGAGACAGAUGAACAACAACUGACCAAGAGAUAACCAAAUAAUAGCAAAGGCGUAGCCCAGAACUCGAAUACAAUCGAAAUAGGAGUUGUAAACUACAGAACUACUCCAACAUACAUCCAAAUGACCAAAACAGCUCAAAGAACUCAAAAUCACCCUUUAAAUAAAACACAACAAAUGUAAAACCCACUUGAAAUGCACCAAACUACUUCAACGAACUCGGAUUCAACUAAAACUAGAAGAUAUGAAUGUGUUAGUUGGAAAUCAGACUCAGGUAUGCCAUUGCUUCAUGAAACAGUAAAACAUUUUUGGUUUUUGAGUUUUUCUUUGGUUUUUUUGAAAUUUGAAUCUCACUUCAAAUCUGUAAAUUUAAAGAGAGAGAGUUUUUGGAAGUUCUCUGGCCAAAAAAACUGCUCUAUCAAGGCAUUAUGAUGCCUUUUUAUAGGCGAAAGGGAGGACAGCCCUCAAUUUUGCAUUUUUCCUACUAGUCACUUCCUUUUUCUGCUUUAAUUCCUUGGUUUCUAACUUGUUCCUCGAGCUAAUCCCUUAACUUCCUAAAAAGACCAGCUGUACCCUUAUCUAUAAUGUUCUAGGAUAUCCUAGCAUGCUUUCUAAUUUGAAGAAAAACCUAUACUAUCCCUAUGCACCCUGCAAUUGCUAUUGACCCAACCCCUUAACCACAAUUAGACUAUCAAUUACAAACCAAGCUUAGCUAAUUUAAACAAAUGACUAAAGCAUGUGAUGACUAUGGAUUAUUCUAAACUAAAUUAUCCCUAAAACUAGCUAAUUCAACCAUAAAGCAACCAUUUAAACUGAAGAUAAUUCAAACACAUUCGACUAAAAUCCUAUCAAGACAGAUUUAAACCAAAACUAAACUAAUAACCAAAUGGCCAACCCUUAAACAGAAUUAAGCAAUCAACAAACCAAUAAUGCUAAAUGGACAGAACCACAAAACAAGCAGAGGUUUUAAUCACUUUAAUCACUUUUUAUACUAAGCUGAUCAGAACAAACAGCGAAUCAAACUUAAACCUUAUAUUAACCAAACAAAACACAACAAAUAGAGAUGUGAGGCCCGGCCAUUCUUCUUUGGAAUUUAUGCCUCGUUUCCUCAUUAACUACUUUCCCUAAGUUUAUUUUUGUCAUUUUGGAUUGCCGGGACAUUCGGUGAUAGAAUUCGGAGUGUUUUGGGACACUUAGUCCCUAAAUGAGAGCUUAAGUGUUGGAGAAUGGUCAGUAAUCAGAAUAGUAUGAAGACAAUCUCGGAAUGGAAAUCCAACGAUUUUGUUGGUUUCGUUACGUGAUUUUGGGGUUGGGAGUGUGUUUGGAAUGUAUUUUGGAUGUCCGUAGCUCAUUUAGGCUAGAAAUGCCGAAAGUUAAAAUUUGGAGGUUUCCGGUUCGAUGGUAAAAUUUUGAUCCGAGUGUCGGAACGGGAUUUAGAAAGUUGUUGCAGUCCCAUAAUGUUAGUUGGGACGUGUGUGCAAAGUUUCAGGUCAAUCAGAUGAGGGUUGAUUGGGUUUUGAAUCGAAAGCGUGUCUCGGAUGAACUUGAAGUUCUUAGUCUUGAACCUUUGAUUUAAUCGAGGUUUCGGUGUUGUUUUAGGUGUUUUAAGGAUUGACACAAGUCUGAAUAACGCGUUAGAUGGUAAUUGUGUUUUUGGUUGGGGUCCCGCGGACCCAGGGAUGAAUUCGGGUGGUAAAACGGAGAUUUCGGAGGUUGUUGCAUUGUUUGUUCAGCUUCUUCUGUUGUUUCCGCAUCAGCGGAAAAGGAGCCGUAUAAGCGAUCCCGUAGAUGAAACGUUGUGGUCGCAUAAGAGGUCAGUGGGACAUGGGCUUGGACCGCCGAAGCGGAAGCAGACCGCAAAAGAAGUGACCGCAUAAGUGGUCAUGGAUCGCACAAACGGUCCUUGGGGACUUUAGUUAUACCGCAAAUGCGGUUGAUUUUUCGCACAAGCAGGACCUCUUCUGGACCGCAAAAGCGAAAAUCACUGUUAUGAUAAGGGUUUAUCCGAGGCUUAAUUUCAAAAGUUGAAAAAUUAUUUGGGAGCUCGGGAGAAGGCGAUUUGGAGUGGGAAUUGAAAAUGCGGUUGAUUUUUCGCACAAGCAGGACCUCUUCUGGACCGCAAAAGCGAAAAUCACUGUUAUGAUAAGGGUUUAUCCGAGGCUUAAUUUCAAAAGUUGAAAAAUUAUUUGGGAGCUUGGGAGAAGGCGAUUUGGAGUGGGAAUUGAAGAGGAAAUCACUGGAUAACGUUUCUAUGAUCCUUUCUAGUCAUAUUCCAUCAUUUAGUAGUUAAAUCCACCUUUUAAAUUUAAAUUGAGGAUCAAAAAUGGAAGAAUUUUGGUAAAAGUGUAUUGACUAAACUAUUGGGUUUUGAGGGGACAUUCGACCUCGAAUUUAUGAGAUUUUUAUAUGGUUAGACUUGUAAGUGUACGAGGUUUCCGAAAAUGUAAAAAUUAUUCGGUUCCGAAACAUUGUCCUUAGGGGCGUUUUAGUCAUUUUAUCUAUUUUCACACAUUAGCUUUAAUUCUAAUGGUAUAAUUAGUUACUUGCAAUGUUAUUUAAAUUAUACAAUUGGUUUGAAUAGAUUCGGGCGAUUCAAAGUUAGAUACUCGUGGUAAGAGCAUUGUUUCAUAGUGAACUUGUACCGGUUCGAGGUAAGUGGCUUGUCUAACUUUGUGGUGUGACCAAUCCCCUUAGGAUCUCUUAACUGUUGUUUUAAAUGCCUUGUGUGCGAUGUGACGAGCGUGCACUUGUGCUAAUUGUUGAAAAUUCACUUUAUUCAAAAUAAUUAGACUAUGUUCCCUCCCUUAUUUAACUGUUAUAAAUGCAACCUCACUAAUUUUAGUUUAGGGAAAGCAUGUUAGUAGCUUACUUAUUUUAUUUGACUAAAUUGCAAUAUUUGCUCUUCGUGAAGUACGCUAGACUAGAAUUUCUAUCAGUUGUUCUUGCUUAGCAUUUCUUUUAUAGUAAUUGAAUUGUUUUGGCGUGUUUACUAUUCGGGACUACGGGACGUCACCCGGAAGCUUCCCUUUGUGUGUUAUGUUCUAAGACUGGAUAUGCGGAAUACUAAGAGAUCCUUGACACAUGAUUGGUUGUAAAAGGAGGAUACUAGGAGAUCCCCGGGAUACUCGGAGAUCACUCGUGAUUAAAUGGAGGAUACCAGGAGAUCCUCAGGAUACUUGAAGACCCUCGUGAUUAAAUGGAGGAUACUAGAAGAUCCUUGGGAUACUUGGAGAUCCCUCGUGUAUAUGAUAAGGAUACCAGGAGAUCCCCGGGAUACCAGGAGAUCCCCGAUGAGAAAUAGCCUAUAGUGAUUUGUUUUUUUAUUCAUAGAUUGUAUCUGUAAUCUGUUUCCGUCUUACUUAUUACUUUCUAGACACUCGAUGUACACUGUACUCAUACUGUUUAUUCAUUUCAUAUUUAUUUUUAUGCUUAUCUCAGUAGGUCCUCGACCUUCCUCAUCACUACCCAACCGAGGUUAGGCUUGACACUUAUUGAGUACCGCUAAGGUUUACUCACGCCUCUUCUGCACAUGUUUUUCAUGUGCAGAUCCAGGUACUUCUGAGUAGGCGUACUACCAGUAGCUGUCAGGGAGCGUAUUGGGGACUUGAGGUAUACAUCUGCUCGUCCGCAGAUCCGCAAAGCCCCCUUCCCAUUCUAUCCAUAGUUCUUAGAUUUUAUUUCGAUCCCUCUUUGUAUUAGACUAUUCUGGUGACUAAAGCAGUGUAAGAUUUCAUAUAGCCUGUGUUGCCCGUGGGUUUCCAAGUCUUGGAGGUUGUUUCAGUAUUCUGUAUUAAAGUGUAUGUGCCAGGCGGCAAAUCUAUACAUUUUCUUAUGUCAUUUGGUAUUCUGUUAUUAUUUUAGUAGAAAUUGUUAAUUCUGCAAUAUGUUAGGCUUACCUAGUCGCGAAGACUAGGUGCCAUCAUGACAGGUUCACGAUUGGUGAACUAGGAUUGUGACAAGAGAUUAACCCUCAAGAAGAUGGUCCGGCAUCAAUCCGGGAUUCCGACUUAAACUAAUGUGAAAGAGAAGUAGAGGAACAAAUAAACAAAAGGAACUUACCUAGAAGCCUCUAAUGUUUUCCCUUAGAUUCUUAACUCGAAUGAGUCCUAUGGGAAUUGAGCACCAUUGUCGAUGAACUCAUCAUGAGGGAAGCCAAGGCAUCAUACAGUAUCAAUUUGGGGCGAUUUAGGGGAGUUAGGGUUUUGGCCGGAAAAAUUCAAAUUCAAAUUCAAAUUCUACCAGUUCCGCCCACGUUCGAGGAGUAAUUCUUAGGUCAAUGGAAAGAGGGAACAAAGGAGAUUCACUGGUGUAAAUUUGGGGUGAUUUGGAGAAAUUUACGUCAUGGCCGAAAAAAUAACUUCGAUCUAAUAUUCGAAGGUUUUGACUGUCAUUCGCAGAAAGAGGGUUAUGGAUCCAGAUAGAGGAGGAGACGGGGAAUCUAGGGUGUAUUUUUGGGCGGGAAGAGAAGUCGUCGGCCGCCGUGGGUGAUUUUCGGUGGCGGAGCCGGUGAGUUAAAGAGAUACGAGGAAGAUGAUCCUUGUCUGUUAGGGUUGAACGAUUUUAGGACAAUCUUAUUUGAUUAACAAAAUAACAUCAGAGCCGUUGGAUCAAGGAGAUGGAUGGUCAGGAUUGAAACAUGUCAUUUGGUUCUAUGGAGGGGGCUGGACCGGGAAUUAUGGAAUUUGGGCUGAAAGAAAAAGGGGAUUGGGCCAAGCUUUUAAUUAGAAAUAGCCCAGUUGUGCUUUCUCAUUGUAAUAGCCCACAUUUUAUAUUUUUGCUUUCUUUGUUAUUUCCCCUUUUUAUUUUGAUUAAUCUAUAUGUAUUUUGUAUUUAUUUAUUUUUUCUGAUUUUAUAAAAAUGCAAAAUUGAAAUGAAAUCUACUUUAUAUCUAAUAUUAAACUUAAUUAAUUCCUAGAAAAUUGAUUAAAUUCUAUUUAAAAGUAAACUCAAUAAUUAACAAUUAAAAAUACGAAAAUGGACUAUUUUUAUUAUUUAUUUGUAGAAUAACCUAAUCAUUAAUUAAUCAUAAAAAGUGAAAUUAAAUCUUAAAUGCACAUGCAUAUUUUUGUAUUUUCAUCUGAAUUAACAUGCGCAAAAUAAAAUGAAAAUAAUUAACAUAAAAUAAGACCAAAAUUCGCUGAACUUGUAAAAAUAAGGAAAUAUUUUUUUGUUUGAAUUUUUGGGAAUAAUUCAUAUAUAGGGCAAAAAUCACGUGCUCACAAGCUGCCCCUCUUUGCUCGGAAACAUGAAAGGUUUUCGGGCAAAGAUAAGUGAGCGAAAACGAGCGAUUUUUGCUCGUUUGCAUAUUCUGUGCGAAGCAUAUUUGAAAAGUUUGACCGCACCCUGCUUCAGAGGUUGCCUACAUAUCCUGGACUAAACAGGAAUCAGGUAAGUGUAGUUUGGGAGUGUCUGGUAGCUGGGACUAACAUGAGCUGUGAUUUCACUGCGAUUGCUGCUGCCACUGCUCGCUGACCUUCCUUAUUGCACCAUGGAAAAUAAAAGAAGCUAAACUAGCUAUGCUCUAUGAAUUGCAAAAGUCCUAUGUAAAUUCUUCAAACUUGUUCUUGUACUUCCUUGUUGCCUUGUUGUCUUGCGUUCUCCUGGUAAAAUCCCUUGUUACCACUUCAACUUGUAAACUAAGAUGUUUUCCCUUCUCUUCAAACUGUUGAAGUUUAACAAACAUGAACUUGAGUGUAUUCCUCUGUUAUAUGGGCGGGCUCCCAACUUCACAAAAAUAGACAAAACAAAGAAAACUUUCUGCCCCGGAUUGGAAAACUGGGUGCUUGUUACCAUAUAUUAAUAAGAAUUGAAAAAUAAAACUUGAAUUGUGAUAAGACUGAAAUGCAACUUUAAAAUUUAAAGACUGAAAUGUAUUCCUCUGUAAUAUGGGCGGGCUCCCAAUCUCAAAACUUGAAUAAAGACUGAAAUGUUUCAAAAAUCAAAAUUUAAAGACUGAAAUGUAUUCCUUUGUUAUAUGGGAGGGCUCCCAACCUCAAAACUUGAAAAUUUAAAGACAGAAAUGUAUUCGUCUGUAAUAUGGGCGGUCUCCCAACCUCAAACUUGAAAAUUUAAAGACUGAAAUGUUUCAAAAUUCAAAAUGUAAAGACUGAAAUGUAUUCCUCUGUUAUAUGGGCGGGCUCCCAACCUCAAUACUUGAAAAUUUAAAGACUAAUAUGUAUUUCUCUGUUAUAUGGGCGGGCUCCCAACUUCAAAACUUGAAAAUUUAAAGACUGAAAUGUUUCAAAACUUAAAAUUUCAAGACUGAAAUGUAUUCCUCUAUUAUAUGGGCGGGCUCCCAACUUCAAAUUAUCCUAGGUGAAGAAUUCAUCAGACUAAGAUUUUUAUCUUAGGUGAAAGAUUCAACAAACUAAGAUUUUUAUCUUUAUAUUAGGUGAAAAAUUCAUCUAACUAAGAUUUAUGAUAGGUGAAAGAUUCAACAGACUAAGAUUCUUAUCUUUAUCUUAGGCGAAAAAUUCAUCAGACUAAGAUUUUUAUCUUAAGUGAAAGAUUCAACAGAUUAAGAUUCUUAUCUUUAUCUUAAGUGAAAAAUUCAUCAAACUAAGAUUUUUAUCUUAGGUGAAAGAUUCAACAGACUAAGAUUCUUAUUUUUAUCUUAGGUGAAAAAUUCAUUAAACUAAGAUUUUUAUCUGAGGUGAAAGAUUCAACACACUAAUAUUUUCUUUUUAUCUUAGGUGAAAAAUGCAUCAGACUAAGAUUUCUUUGUCUUAGGUGAAAGAUUCAACAGACUAAGAUUUUUAUCCUAGGAGAUAAAUCAUCAAACUAGGUCCAAUUCGAAUCCAGUCUUUCUUAAUCUUUCAAAUUUAAACUUCCUUUUUUUUUCACAUUCUGCCUUCCUUUCCUUUUUCCCAAAUCAUGCCUUCCUUUACUUUCCAACUUAUGCCUUCCUUUUUUAAAAAAAAAAAUAUGUCGUCCUUUUUUUCAAAUUAUCAUAGGAGAAAAUCAAACCGGGUUUUCUACCUUUAUCUUUGGUAAAAGAUUCAUCAGAUUAAGAUUUUUAUCUUAGGUGAAAAAUUCAACUGACUAAGAUUUCUUUAUCUUAGGUAAAAAAUUCAUCAGACUAAGAUUUUUAUCGAUUAACCAUUUUCCUCCGAAACUUUUUUUUAUCUACCUUCUAACUUGAAUUAUCUUCCUUCAGAACCGCUUACCUAAAAACUGGUGUUGUCCUCCUUCAAAAACCAUUUCCCUAAAAACUAGUGUUUCAUUCCUCCGAAAAUUACUUUUCUUAAAACUGGUGUUUCUUCCCUGAAAACUACUUUCCUCUUCUUUUUUUCUUUUUUUAAAAAAAAACUUGUAUUGACCUUCAUGUUCUUCAGAUGGGUACCCGACUUCAAGAAAAUUUUCAAAAGGACAGAAACUUUACUGCCCCAGUUUGAUAAUCUUUCUGUAGCAUAUCUUUUCGCCAUCAAUAACAUUUCCAUGCCCCUGUUUCAAAUCAAAUAAAACUCUGUCAGCUUAAUGCGCGGUGUCGGUUGUGGUACCCAUGCUGGGGAUGGCUUCCUUUUUUCCUUUCCAUGCUGCACGUUGUCCGACCAUCUUUGAAACUUGGAUAAUAAUUUCCGCCCUUCUUGACGACUACCUCUAAUUAUUACUUCAAAUCUUCUUAUCUGACCCCAUAUGUUUUCUAUCACAACUAAUUCUUCUUGAGGAUCUUGCAUGUUUACUGAUUAACCACUUUCUGCGUUAUCUGUGCCACAAAAAUACAUUUUCACCAUUCAGAUCCAAUAUCUUCUUUUUGGGGAAUUUCUCAUGAACUGGCAUAUUCCUGACCUUUGAGUCUUACAUAAAUUCCCAAAUUACAUCCAUUUCCCCCACAAUAUGUUGUUGUUUCCUGCUUAUCUAAUGGCCUUGGACCUGAGGUCUGUUGCUCCUUUACUUGCCGAUAACUUUCAUUUCCAUUUGAAAAUCCCACUUGUUUUUGGUCUAACGACUUCUGUUGUCAUCCUUAUCACAGAACACACCUCGUCUGCAUUCAAAACCCUAUACCUUAUGUUUGUUGCACUAUUUCUGUACUGACUUUAAUUAAUCCUUGUGCCUCACCCCAAAGCAUGUUGAUUACCACCCAGAGUAUGUUGCUCUUCUAAAUUGAGCCCCUUGGCCCCUGACAUUGGAGUCUAUUGCUCCUUCGCUUGUCAUGAUGACUUUGACUAAACACCUUCUAUGUCAUCCUUGUAACAGAAAAUACCUCCCCUCCGUUUCAUCCCAAUACCCCCUAUCUGUUGCAUUGCUCCUGAACUCACAUCUAUGUUUCACCUGGAUUCCAAAGCAUGUUGAUUAUUACCAGCUCAGUGCUCUUGUUGUUUUUCCUCACUUGUGACCCCAUUUUGUGCAAUUGAAAAGUUGGUGGCGAAUUUUGAAGUCAUUUCUCACUUGUUAUGAUUAAACAGAAUCAUAAAGAGAAAGUGAAUAAAAACAGAGGAACGAAGUGAAGGACAUUGGAAAGAGAUGAUUCCUAAAGAGAAAACUACAAAGUAGACACCUAUCAGACGAGGAUACCAACUCUAAUGACCAUGACCUGCACUUGUAGAUAUUUUGUCAAUCCAACCUGAUGUUCAACUCUUGCUGUAACCUUUCACAGUGAAACUGGGCUUCAAUGCUCUGCUUAUCCAAUCUGAUUUACAGUAUUUAUUCGACUUAUAGUGCCCGAAGGGUUUUCACUGUCAAGCCACUCUCAUUUUCUUCUUUCUCUCAUCUUACUGUCGCCUCAAGGUGUCCGUAAAGGUUUUCACCAAUAAGAAUCUCUCAAUUUUUAUUUCUCUCAGCUUUCAUCGCCUUGUGGUACCCGUGAGGGUUUUAAUCAAUCCGGCUCUAUCAUUUUCAUUUUUCUUGCUUGGAUGGAGUGUUGCCCCUGGCAUGAAUUACCCUUACUUGCUUGACUUGGCUUUUCUUAAAGGCUGAUCGGAAGGUCUUCAUUUGGACCGUAUUGUGGCCUUUGGACGGGGUUAGAAAAGAAGGGUAUAAAAGGGUCAAAAACAAUUUCAAAAUGGGUUAAAAUUAUAACUUUCGAGAUCCAAUCUUUCACAACAAUCACAACGUUUGCCCCAGUUUCUUGCUUGGAGACUUUUGGAUUUUUAUUUUGGUAUGACUGAACCUUAGAGAGGCUACCUACGUACCCUUUCGAGAUCAAGUCAAACGUAGUUCACAUCAUAGAAACUACGUUGUUGUAAUUUUCUUUCUCUUUUUUUUCUUUAUGUUUUUUUCUUGCUUUUCCCUUUCUUUUCUUCAUUUUUUCUUUUUUUCUUUCUUCUCUUUCUUUCUUUUCUUUUCUUUUUUUCUUUUGCUUUUGUUCCUUUCUUUCUCAUUUUCUCUUCUUCUUUUUCCUUUCUUUCCUUUUCUUUUUCCUUCUUUUUCCAUUUUCUUAUCUUCGACACUUGCGUUUCUUCGAUUGUGCUGUUGAUUCCGAAAGAGGGGUAUGAAAGAAAACAAAUAAGGCUCAAAGAGGGUUACAAAAUGGUAAAGUAUUUAGAUAGUAGAACAAAAUGCCUUCGUCAUUUCAAACUUCAAAAUAUGACAAAUACAAACAAAUUAAGAAAUCAUACACAUCAUCUCUUGACCGCAUCAAACUUGACGGCCAUUUCCACACAUUUUCCUUCUACAUAUGUCAAAUAUAAUGUACCAUUGGGCAGCGCUCUUACUCUUAUUACCACGACCAGCCCUUUGUCAAUUUGGCAAACUUGCUUUUACGGGAAUUUUUUAUGUUCUAUUUGACCCAGUUUCACAUGGUUAGGGUGUCAAACAAUCUCAAAACGUCCAAAUUUGUUCUUAUUUCCUAAAAUACCCUCAUCGUCUUCUAAAUGGUUUUAUUACUUCCCGCCUAACGUAGCUUUUAAAGAUCAGACUGAGAAUUAUGCGUGCAUAUCAUGUCACUAGAAUCAGCAAAAGGCAAAACAAAAGGAUAGAAAAGAACUAAACAAAGAAAUGAUUGGGAGUAACAAAAGAUCGGAAUUUGCAUUAGACAAAAGAUGAAACAAUUCAAAUAACAAAACAAACCAAACAAACUAGAGUACAACCCUAGAAUGAACCUGCAACAAACCUAGCCAACACUAAACAAACCACUAUGACUAAACAAGCUAGAUGAAAUGAAAGGAUAAGAGAGUUUGAGUCACAAGACAAUAUCUGGAUCACAACCCUGCAAAUAACCCGGACAACCGAAAUGACAACAAAAUGAACCACCAAGACUUUUCUCGUCUGACCAAGAAAAGAACAUCUUCCCAAUUACCAAGCAUGGUAUCUUAGCCACUGAAUUCGACAUAAACAAUGCUAAGAACUUCAAAUGACUUUUCCAAGUAAAUAAUAUCUGCCGUGUGCUACUCAUUUUGCACAGGCGAUGGACUUUUGCUAGUGUCUGCUGCAUCUUGAUUUGGCAUAACAAUGCCACCUACAUCAAUAAGCUCCUGAAUUGCUUUCUUCAGCUUCGAACACUUUUCUAUGUCAUGCCCCGAUGCAUCUAGGCAAUAUGAGCACCUUUGAAGAGAAUCCCACAUCUUUAAUAGAAGGUUUGGUAUUUUUAUCUGAAUCGAAUUCAACAUGUCCAAUUGCUUCAAAUUUUGGAACAAACUGGCAUAUGAUCCUCCAAAAGGGGUGAAAGCCUUUCCUUUUUUCAGCAACCUCUCAUUCCUAAAUGACCGAUUGGGCUGGAAACCUGAUCCAGGGGGUUUCUGGCAGACUCGUGAGGGCAGGUGAGGAAUUUGUGGGCCAUUAUGGGCCUUGUGGAUGUGGAACAUAUGGUGCACAUGGAUAUCCAUGGGGCUGACAUCGAGGUUGAGAGGGUUUAUCAAGAACGGCCACUGGACCGUAAUGCCAGUGGAGGGAAUGACCUGGUGGUUGGACAUAUGCCUGGUUAUUGUUCGAAGGAUAAUGCUGAGGUUGAUUAUGUGGGGCUGGGGGACAGGUUUGGGAUUGGAAUUGAGGCUGAAGAAGCUUGGCAGGAAUGACCACUGGGCUCUGUUAUCGGCAUGGCUCAACUAGAGUACAACCCUAGAAUGAACCUGCAACAAACCUAGCCAACACUAAACAAACCACUAAGACUAAACAAGCUAGAUGAAAUGAAAGGAUAAGAGAGUUUGAGUCACAAGACAAUAUCUGGAUCACAACCCUGCAAAUAACCCGGACAACCGAAAUGACAACAAAAUGAACCACCAAGACUUUUCUCGUCUGACCAAGAAAAGAACAUCUUCCCAAUUACCAAGCAUGGUAUCUUAGCCACUGAAUUCGACAUAAACAAUGCUAAGAACUUCAAAUGACUUUUCCAAGUAAAUAAUAUCUGCCGUGUGCUACUCAUUUUGCACAGGCGAUGGACUUUUGCUAGUGUCUGCUGCAUCUUGAUUUGGCAUAACAAUGCCACCUACAUCAAUAAGCUCCUGAAUUGCUUUCUUCAGCUUCGAACACUUUUCUAUGUCAUGCCCCGAUGCAUCUAGGCAAUAUGAGCACCUUUGAAGAGAAUCCCACAUCUUUAAUAGAAGGUUUGGUAUUUUUAUCUGAAUCGAAUUCAACAUGUCCAAUUGCUUCAAAUUUUGGAACAAACUGGCAUAUGAUCCUCCAAAAGGGGUGAAAGCCUUUCCUUUUUUCAGCAACCUCUCAUUCCUAAAUGACCGAUUGGGCUGGAAACCUGAUCCAGGGGGUUUCUGGCAGACUCGUGAGGGCAGGUGAGGAAUUUGUGGGCCAUUAUGGGCCUUGUGGAUGUGGAACAUAUGGUGCACAUGGAUAUCCAUGGGGCUGACAUCGAGGUUGAGAGGGUUUAUCAAGAACGGCCACUGGACCGUAAUGCCAGUGGAGGGAAUGACCUGGUGGUUGGACAUAUGCCUGGUUAUUGUUCGAAGGAUAAUGCUGAGGUUGAUUAUGUGGGGCUGGGGGACAGGUUUGGGAUUGGAAUUGAGGCUGAAGAAGCUUGGCAGGAAUGACCACUGGGCUCUGUUAUCGGCAUGGCUCAACGAUAUCUUUUUUUUCAAUGAAAGGAGUAUCCUGAGCAACGUUUUCGUUCCAUCUGACCCAAAAGUCCCUAAAACUUUCCUUGGGUUUCUUUUCCAUCUGAAAUAGGGAGGAACGGCCUGGGACAAUGUCUUUAUUGUACUGAAAAUGUCGCACAAAAUCUUGAGCCAUGUCGCCCAACGUUUGUCACUUCCCGACAUCUUGACGAUCAUGCCAUUCCAAUGCUGCCCCAGUCAGGCUCUCACUGAAAUGUGAUAUCAACAACUCAUCUUCUUGCCGACAUUCCUCGUUUUAUUGCAAUAAUCCCUUAAGUGGGAUACUGGAUCUCCCUACCCAUCAUACAAAUUAACCUUCGGCAUUUCCAGCUUUCUGGAUAUCUUACCUUGCUCCACUAUUUUAGAAAGCUUCGUAGUCUCAACGGGAGACUCAAAAUGAAGAGCGUGAUAGUAUGGACUUGAGGCCUUGACAAUUGGUUCUGGAGCAUAAUGUUGGAUAUCGGGGACUGAUGACGGAGGAAACCCACUUGUCCAAGUUUUGUGCUUUCUGACUAUCUGUCUUUUCAACCUCAAAACCUCUUCUUUCAACUCAAAUUCUGAUUCAACAAUUCCCCUAGAUGGAUCAGUAAUACCUGUGUUAAACCCUUUCCAGCCAUGACUGCCUUGCUUUUCGACCUUGUGUUGUAUGGAUGACUUACCUUAUGAACAUAAAACCAACUACCCUUCUUCUAUGAAUUUAAUAUAAUAAAGCCAUCACGUUAGCGUUAGGGCAUUUAAAAUAUUGGUAACCGUACAUUUGGGGAAUGAAUGCACCUAAGCAGUUAACAAUUACUAUUAUGCAUUUGAUCGUUCGCUUGCAUCACUCCGACUUUCCUUAUUCCAAAUUGUAAUUUUUCUUUUCUUUCGUUUUCUUUUUGUUUCUCUUUUUGUCGUUCUUGACCCUGCUUUAUUUUGGCCUUAUUCUCUCAUCCCCUCUUGUUUUGCCGUUAGUCCUUUUUUGGUUUCCAUUUUCUCUCAUUUGUUUCUCCUUCUCUCUUGUUUCCCCCCUUUUCCCACUUUCAGUAUUUCUCUUUUCUUUUCUUUUUUUGUUUUUCCGCUCUUUUCUUUUGCUCUCCCUUUUUUUAUUUGGUUAUGGUCCAAUCCUAUGUGGAUUGCCUCCGUAUCAUGACCCCGUAUGAAUCAGACCGUGCGUAGUUCGUGGAGAUAAAAGGUAAAAAACAAUAAAAUAUAUUUUGGAAAAAACAAACUUUGACUACAAUGAUUCAAAAACUGACAAACUUAAACAAAACUAAUAGACUGUGACGAAAAGCCGAAAUACAGACUCGAAAAUCAAGAAACCCACAUAUUCUAAUAAAAAGAAAUACAAACUCAAGUUCCAACUGACAAAUUCUUUCCCCUACAUGCCAAUUUUAACCAAAUGGCUGUUUUUGCAAAUGUGGCACCUUCCCAAUUUCACAUGAAUUUUGAGGCCGGGGAGGAUUAUUUCGUGACACUUACAAACAUGUCCGUUCUUUACGAAAAUAGCCUUUUGACAACUGAAAGAUACUCUAAGGCUAUCUCGGCAAGAACACAUUAAGACACUGCCGAAGCAAGAUAGGCUUAUUUUGACUGAUGACUCUUUUUCUUGUUUUUUUUCAAAUUAAAAUUAAAGACCUAAUUUUGCAAACACAACUUUUCAGCACUUCGAGGUCAAAGAUUUUAAGUCGGCUAACCGGCCAAAACCUUGAACACUGACCAAAAGGUGGCCGUUCUUGCAAAAUAGCCUUCCAGCGCCCUUUUAGGGACACUCGGCUUAUUUUUGAAGAGAAUGACAUCACCUAACUUAUUUAUGACAAAAUUAAUUUUUCUUGCUGUUUUGGGCUAUUUUGCAAAGGAGAGGUUGGACCCGAUUGCCUACAUAUCUCACGCCAUGUGAGAAUCAAACCAUAUGUAGUUCGGGCAAAUUAAAUGAACUAUUUUAAAACAAGACUCUUUUUGAUUUUUAUUUUUGGCAUUUCAUAAGCAAAUAAAAAAACUUCUUUUAAAAAACAAGACUCUUUUUCUUUUUCUUUGUUCAAUAAUAAAACAACCUAUUUUUCCAAAUUAAAGAUAAAAGACUCUUUUUCUUUUCCUUUUCAACAACAAUUGAAACAACUCAUUUGUCUAGACUAAGAAUAAAAAACUCUUUUUCUUUUUCAACAAAUAAAACAAUCUAUUUUUUCCAGACUAAAGAUAAAAGACCCUUUUUCUUUUCCUUCCAACAAACAAGAAAAUAACCUAUUUUUCCAAACUAAAAAUAAGAGACUCUUUUUUUCCGUUUACAACAAACAACUUUUCAAAAAAUAAAAGAAUCUUUUUUCUAUUUUUUCUUUGCUUUCUUAGUAAAACAAAUUAUUAAAAAUAAAACAUUUCCUUUUUCCACUUUCUCAAAAUUUUGGCAGAGCUUCGACAACAUUUGGGCAUUGAUUCUUCUAAAACUAAGCAAUUAACUCCCUACACUACCAUUUUUCUCUUUUUCUUUUUUUUUCAUAAUAUUCCUGAUGUUCAAAAGCCGGUCAGCAUGUAUUUCAUGACCCUAGGUCACCAAUCGUGAAUCUGUCAUGAUGACACCCAGUCUUCGCGACUAGGUAGGCCUGACACAUUGCGGAAAUUCAACAAUCUAUGCGGAAACAAUAAAUAAAACAUAAAUAACAUAAGAUAAUGUAUAGAGUGCCACCUGGCACAUACAUGUCAACUCAAAUUAACGUAAGGAAUCUCCAAGAUCCGGAAACCCACGGGCAACACAGGCUAAGAGUAAACAUAUUACAAUGCUCUAACAUCCCGAAGUGUCUAUGCCAAACGAGUAUACGAAAGAAAACUAGUAACUACAGGUAGAAUAGAGGAAUACUCUUCCGCUAUGCGGAUGCAGCACAUGCAUACCUCAAGACUCCAAAGCAACUUCGAAUCCCUAAUAGCGCGCCGGUCCAGAAGUACCUGGAUCUGCACAACAAAAGUGUGCAUAAGAGUAGCAUGAGUACACCACGACGGUACUCAGUAAGUGCGAAGCCUAACCUCAAUGGAGUAGUGACGAGGAAGAUCGAGGCCCCUGUUGAGAUAAAAAUAAAAUAAUAUGAAAUGAAAUAACAGUAGAAAAUACAUAAAUCUCGAAUAUCUAACAACAAUUAGAAGAACGGAAUAGACUAUAUUACAACUCUACAAAAACAAGAAACAAUCGUUACAGGUUAAUUAUCAUCGGGGAUCUCCAAGUACCUAGAGGAUCUCCCAGUAUCCUCAUCAUAGACGCAAGGGAUCUCCAAGUAUCUCGAGGAUCUCUUAGUAUCCUCCAGUAAUCAGUCCUACCCUGGGAUCUCUUAGUAUCCGCCAGAAAGUAAAUUUUGCGCUGGGGAUCUCUUAGUAUCCUCCAGAAAAUAAAAUCUGCACUGGUGAUCUCUUAGUAUCCGCCAGUCAUAUAAUCCAGUGCCGGGGAUCUCUUGGUAUCCCGCACUUCCAAACCUCGAAACCAAAAUACGAAUAUGGGGAGCUCCCGGUAUGCCUUCCCGUAGUCCCAAUAGUAAAUACACCACAACAUACCAAUAUUUUACGGCAAUGAUAAAAUACGAACAGGGGGAGCUACCGGGAUGCCAUCCCGUAGUCCCAAUAGUUAAUAGACCACAAAAAACCAAUAUUAACGGCAAGGAAGCGAAAUGCGAACAACAAAUAAAAUCGAGAAUAUAACAUGCUUCACAAGAAGGACAAAUAUUGCAAUUUAACCAAAUAAGACAAGUAAGUUUCUAACAUGCUUUAGAAAAGAAAACAGAUACUACCAUUUAGAUAAGUUGAUCAAAUAAUUACUAACAUGCUUCUCCUACGUCAAAACAAGUGAAGUAUCAUUGUUAACAAUUAAAUAUGUGAAGAAACACAUUCUAAAUAAACCAAGUAAGGUGAAUUUUCAACAACUAGCAUAAGUACACACCCGUCACCUAGUGCACAAGGCAUUUAAACAAUGACAAGGAUAUCCUAAGGGGUAAGUCCCCCACACAAAGUUAGGUAAACCACUUAACUCAAUUUGGUAUAAAACCGCUAAGAAACAACGCCCUUGCCACGAGUUUCUGAUUCCGAGUGGCCCAAAUCUAUUCAAACCAAUUAUAUAUUGUAAAUAACAUCGCAAGCAAUUGAUUACACUAUUAAAAGUAAAGCUAAGGCGCGAAAAUAGAUAAAAUGACCAAAAUUCCCCUCAGGCUAGCGUCUCGGAAUCAAAUAAUUUUUAGAUUUUCAGAAACCUCGUACUCUCACGAGUUUAGCCAUAUAAAAAUCUCCCAAAUCGGAGAUUAAAUGCCUCUUCAAAUCAUCAAAGUUAGGUCUAAGAAUAUUACCCCAAAUUUUCAUUCAAAUCCGAAAUUAAAGCUUGAAUUCGAGAUUAGAUUAGCGGGUAAUAAUCAUAAAGGAUAAAGGAAUUGCUACCCAAUGUUUGCCAUUGAAAACUCCUCGAAAAAUCUCCCAAAACUGAUCUCUCUAGCUUGAGUUUUUGUAAAAAUGGAAGAAGGGUUCGUUUUUGAAAUAUAUGAAUUGGUCAGGGAUUUCUUCAUCGCGAACGCAGAGAGGGGGAUCGCGUUCGCGGAGAUGAAAAAUUCAAGAGGAUAAGGUUGCUCUUCGUGAAUGCGAGGAAAGGGCUGCGAACGCGAAGGCUUGGUAUUGGAACCUACGCGAACGCGACAAGGAACACACGAACGCAUAGAAGGGAAAAAGGAGGGGUCCAGGACCGACCCUACGCGAACGGGUUGGGUAAGGACGCGAACGCGAAAGAGAGGGGAGCUAGGCUUCGCGAACGCGUGAAGAAGGAAGCGAACGCGGUGAAUGGAAAAGGGAACGCUUCGGGAACGCAGGGCUUCCUUCACGAACGCGAAGAAGGAUAGCAGACCUGCAAUUUUUCUCCUGCAAUUCUAAACUCCAAAUUGCUCCGUUGAGCAUCCGAAACACACCCGAGGCCCUCGGGACCUCAACUAAACCUACGAAAAUAUCUCAUAACCCCAUCCAAACUCGUACCAAUCCUUGAACCACAUAAAACAACGCCGAAUACUCGAAUUAGUUAAUGAUUUCAACUUAAAAACUUCAAAACUUAACCAAACUCGCUUUCGCUUCAAAACCUAACCAAACACGUCUGAUUCACGUGAAAUUUUGCACACACCUCCCAAAUGAUAUGACGGUGCUACAAAAACUUCCAAAAUCCCGUUCCGGCCCUCGGAUCAAAAUUUCACUAAUGGACUGGAAACUUCAAAAUUCGAACUUUCGGCAUUUAAAGCCUAAAUGAGCUACGGACAUCCAAAAUAUAUUCCGAACACGCUCCCAACCCCGAAAUCACCUAAUAGAGCUAAUGGAACAAUCAAUUUUUCAUUGCGAGGUCGUCUUGACACUAUUCUGAUUACAGACCAAUUUCCAACACUUACGCUCUCAUUUAGGGACUAAGUAUCCCGAAACACUCCGAAUUCUAUUACCGAACAUCCCGGAAAACCAAAAUAGCAGAAAUGAACUUAGAGAAGGCAGUUAAUCGGGAAACGGGGCAUAAAUUCCAAAGACACCGUCCGGGUCGUCACAUCCUCCUACACUUAAACAUUCAUUCGUCCUCGAACGAGCAUAGAGAACAUNNNNNNNNNNNNNNNNNNNNNNNNNNNNNNNNNNNNNNNNNNNNNNNNNNNNNNNNNNNNNNNNNNNNNACUGCAGACGAGCAUAGAGAACAUACCUGAAGUAGCAUAUAGAUGAGGGUAUCGUCUGCGCAUAUCUUGCUCGGUCUCCCAAGUUGCCUCUUUGGCCGGCUGACCCCGCCAGUGCACCUUUACUGAAGCUAUAUCCUUUGACCUGAGCUUUCGAACUUGUCUAUCCAAUAUUGCCACUGGCUCCUCAAGAUUGGACAAGUCAUUAUCCAACUGGACUGAAGUGAACUCCAACACGUGAGACGGUUCACCAUGAUACCUCCGAAGCAUCGAAACAUGAAAUACAGGAUGAACCCCGGCCAAACUGGGAGGUAAAACAAGCUCAUAAGCAACCUUCCCAACUGCUCCUCAACAUAGGACAAGUCAUUGUCCAACUGGACUGAAAAAAACUCCAACACGUGAGACGGGUCACCUGAUACCUCCGAAGCAUCGAAACAUGAAAUACGGGAUGAACCCCAGCAAACUGGGAGGUAAAGCAAGCUCAUAAGCAACCUUCCCAACCUGCUUCAAAAUCUCAAAUGGGUGAACUCUAACAUGUGAGACGGGUCAGCAUGAUAACUUCGAAGCAUCGAAACAUGAAAUACUGGAUGAACCACGGCCAAACUGGGAGGCAAUGCAAGCUCAUGAGAAACUUUCCCAAUCUGCCUCAAAAUCUCAAAUGGGCCAAUGAACCUUAGGCUCAACUUUGCUUUCUUUCCAAACCUCACGACGCCUUUCAUAGGCGAGACCCGAAGCAAAACACGCUCACCAACCAUAAAUGAAACAACACAAACCUUCUGGUCCGCAUAACUCUUCUGCCUGGACUCGACCGCAUGGAAUCUAUCCUGAAUCACCUUAACCUUCUCAACCGCAUCCUAAACCAAGUCAGUGCCCAAUAACCUGGCCUCGCCCGGCUCAAACCAACCCGCCGGGGAUCUGUAUCUCCUACCAUAUAAGGCCUCAUAAGGCACCAUCUGAAUACUGGACUGAUAACUGUUGUAUGCAAACUCGGCCAAUGGCAAGAAUUGAUCCAAGAACUUCUAAACCCAAUCGCGCACGUACGGAGCAUAUCCUAAAGAAUCUAAAUAGUGCGCUUGGACUGUCUGUCCAUCUGAGGGUGAAAAGCUGUACUCAUGGCCACCUGGUAUCCAACUCAUGCUGGUCGGCUCUCUAGAAUCGUGAUGAAAACAUUGAACCCCUGUCUGAGAUGAUGGGAACUGGAACGCCAUGCUGAUGGACAAUCUCCCUGAUAUAAAUCCCUGCUAACCGCUCUGCUGAGUACGAAGUGCACACUGGAAUGAAAUCGGACUUGGUCAGCCGAACCACAACAACCCAAAUAGAAUCAAACUUCCUCGCCAUCAGAGGGAGACCAAUCACAAAAUCCAUGGCGAUAUUCUCCCAUUUCCACUCCAGAAUCUCCAUCUGCUGGAGUAAUCCUCCCGGUCUCUGAUGCUCAGCCUUCACUUGCUGACAGUUGAGGCAUCUAGCUAUGAACUCUACUAUGUCCUUCUUCAUCCGCCUCCACCAGUAAUGCUGCCUCAGAUCCUGAUAUAUCUUCGUGCCACCCGGAUGGAUGGAGUACCGCGAGCUAUGGGCCUUGGUCAAUAUCAACUCCCUAAUAUCAUUGACAUCGGGCACACAAAUACGAUCCUGCAUCCUCAAUAUCCUGUCAUCUCCAAUAGUUGGGUUUUUAAAUUUGACAAAUCCUAUACAAUUGAGCCCAUGGCCCCGGUCGUCUCAAUCUCACCAAAUGAAAUUCAACAAGUUCACAUAGUGACACCCAAUGUCAUUUUGAUCCACUAGAGUUAUUAAGCCACCAGUUUAAUGCCCAAUUAAUCAGUUCAUUACCUAUUAUAACUAAAUGAGUCAACAGUGCCUUGAAAACAAAUAGGCAAGUCAUAGCAUGAAUUCAUUUUUUAAAAACAAAAUGCAACUGAAACUCAACUUUGUUCUUAUCUAAUGGAUCAAUCAUCGUGAGUCCUUUACACCCCUAUAUCAACAUUCUAAUUUGACAUUUGUAUGACUGUUAUUAUUAUUUUAGGCGAUGGCCAUUAAUGUAAGCAAACUAUCACAGUAAGCAUAGAAUUCCACUGAACUGACUAACUAAUGCCAAUACUCAGUUAAUGAUUUGAAUAACUUCUGAACACAAAUCCUCGGACUACGUAAACGGUCUGUAUAAAUGAUAGCUAACACAGUCCAAUUUCAGUCCAGAUUGCACAACAGUCCAUUCGAAUCUAGUUCACAUGAUUACAAAACUAAUUCUAUCAUGUCUGCACUCGAUCACAACCAACGAAUUAAUAAAACAAAUGACAGAAGGCAUUUAGGAUGUAACAGAGGACAUUUAGCAGUAGAAUUAAUCUCAAUUCAUUUCAUGUUCGACUAAAAUCCUAUCAAGACAGAAUUAAACCAAAACUAAACUAAUAACCAAAUGGCCAACCCUUAAACAAAAUUAAGCAAUCAAGAAACCAAUAAUGCUAAACGGACAGAACAAGCAGAGGUUUUAAUCACUUUCAUCACUUUUUAUACUAAGCUGAUUAGAAUAAACAGCGAAUCAAACUUAAAACCUAUAUUAACCAAACAAAACACAACGAACAGAGAUUAACCCUCAAGCAGACGGUCCCGGAAUCAAUCCGGGAUUCCAACUUAAACUAAUGUGAAAGAGAAGAAGAGGAAGAAAUAAACAAAAGGAACUUACCCAGAAGCCUCUAAUGUUUUUCCUCAGAUUCUUAAUUCGAACGAGUCCUAUGGGAAUUGAGCGCCAUUGUCGCUGAAUUCAGCAAGAGGGAAGCCAAGGCAUCAUACGGUGUCAAUUUGGAGCGAUUUAGGGCAGUUAGGGUUUUGGUCGGAAAAAUUCAAAUUGAAAUUCGAACAGUUCCAGCCAAGUUCGAGGAGUAAGUCUUAGGUCAUUGGAAAUAGGGAAUGGAGGAGAUUCACUGAUGUAAAUUUGGGGUGAUUUGGAGAAAGUUGCGACAUGGCCGGAAAAAAACUUCGAUCCAAUAUUCGAAAUUUUGACUUUCAAUCGCAAAAAGAGGAUUAUGGAUCCAGAGAGAGGAGGAGACGGGGAAUCUAGGGUGUAUUUUUGGGUGGGAAGGAAGCCGUCCGCAACGUGGGUGAUUUUCGGCGGCGGAGCCGGUGAAGUAAAGAGAUACGAGGAAGAUGAUCCUUGUCUGUUAGGGAUGAACGAUUUUAGGACAGUCUUAUUUGAUUAACGAAAUAACAUCAGGGCUAUUGGAUCAUGGAGAUGGAUGGCCAGGAUUGAAAUGGGUCAUUUGGUUCUAGGGAGGGGGAUGGACCGGACAUUAUGGGAUUUG